GUGUGAUUGGGAUACAUAGGUGGCGUAUAGUGUCUGCUGCUGGGUCACGGCGCAUGCGUGGUUGUGCAUGUUAGUUUGUAACCAAAGUAGAAUGGGGAUUGCCGCUUGUCAUUAGAUGUGGGAAGAGUUUGGGUGACUUGUAGCUGUGGAAUGACGUUAAAGGUAUCCACAUGGGAUGACAGAGCGUGCAGGUGCCAGUACAGAAGCUCAUGGAAGCUGACAUAAUUUGUAUCGUCAGUUGCACAUGCUUUGGAAGAAGGUUAAGUUGGCAAAGGGACUGUAUGUUUUUCAGAUAUUGCUCAAAAUGCCAGUGUGUAUGGUAAGAGGAUGUAACACAUCAUCCAGAAACAAGACAGAUGACAUAAUGCUGCACUCGUUUCCCCCAGACAAAGACAGUGUAAAGUAAUGGCUGACACAAAUGAAACAAACUUUUGAUGACUUGGAAGGAUUUGCAGAAAAAAUUGUUAGCAGCACACGAGGAACUUAUAGAAUCUGUUCUCUGCACUUUACUCCUGAUAUGUAUGAACUUAGAGGAUUUCUACCCUUUUUGAAAAAAAAAAGAUGCUAUUCCCACUAUAUUUCCAGACUGUCCGCCAAUGCAAUAUUCAGCAAAAAAUAGCAGAAAGCAUAUUGCUGGUCUAUUGCCCAAGCAAUGCAUAGCUACAGGAAUGUUUCAUCCUGAAGAUGUAAUGUCAUAUCCAUUGCAAGGUUUCCCGGAGUUUCCUCUAGAACUUGGCAUACAGAUGCCAACACCUUCCUCUGAAGCACUCUCAGCACUACAAAAAUCAGAACCAACAUUUCCACGGAAAAGAAAAUACAGACCACGAGCUAUAAGAACUAUUGGAACUAUGAUUGGGUUCUUUCCCGGACAGGUACAUAAGUCUACUCAAUGCAAUAUACCAGUGCGAACUAAGCAUAAGAGUUUUCAAAUACAAAUAAGACCAACUCGCAGAUCAGUUGGAAUACAAUGCGAUAUCAGUAGUUCAACCUGGUUUACAAAUACAAACAACAGUUCCUGGAACACUGAGUAAAAAAACAGUGUAUGACCUUCACUGUCCAAAAAACAAAUGUCUGCUAGUUUGUAGAUCAGUAGCUUCUAAACAGUUUUUAACUUUUUAGCCUCAGACAACCACUUUUGUACCAUGCAAUCCAGUGCCAGCAAACACACUGCAUUUGCGACCUGCACUUAGGCAUUGUUAAUAUUGCACUGACACCCACUGAAGAUUGUAAAGGCAGUGCGAUUUAAAUGCGGUAAGGGAAAGGCACACAGAUCGUGGGGUUUCCUGCAUUUCAUUAGUGUAAACCUAGGCUUAAAGUUUAAAGCGGGGGUUCACCCAAAAAUAAAUUUUUAACAUUACAUU